AUUGAACGCUGGCGGCAGGCCUAACACAUGCAAGUCGAACGGUAACAGGAAGAAGCUUGCUUCUUUGCUGACGAGUGGCGGACGGGUGAGUAAUGUCUGGGAAACUGCCUGAUGGAGGGGGAUAACUACUGGAAACGAUAGCUAAUACCGCAUAACGUCGCAAGACCAGAGAGGGGGACCUUCGGGCCUCUUGCCAUCGGAUGUGCCCAGAUGGGAUUAGCUAGUAGGUGGGGUAACGGCUCACCUAGGCGACGAUCCCUAGCUGGUCUGAGAGGAUGACCAGCCACACGGGAACUGGGACACGGUCCAGACUCCUACGGGAGGCAGCAGUGGGGAAUAUUGGACAAUGGGCGGAAGCCUGAUGCAGCCAUGCCGCGUGUAUGAAGAAGGCCUUCCGGUUGUAAAGUACUUUCAGCGGGGAGGAAGGGAGUAAAGUUAAUACCUUGGCUCAUUGACGUUACCCGCAGAAGAAGCACCGGCUAACUCCGUG
rnacentral:rRNA from 1 species